rnacentral:rRNA from 1 species
CCUACGGGAGGCAGCAGUGAGGAAUAUUGGUCAAUGGGCGAGAGCCUGAACCAGCCAAGUAGCGUGAGGGAUGACGGCCCUAUGGGUUGUAAACCUCUUUUGUACGGGGAUAAAACCCUCCACGUGUCGCGGUCUGCAUGUACCGUACGAAUAAGGAUCGGCUAAUUCCGUGCCAGCAGCCGCGGUAAUACGGAGGGUCCGAGCGUUAUCCGGAUUCAUUGGGGUUAAAGGGGGCGUAGGCGGUCGUUUAAGUCAGCGGUAAAAUUGCGGGGUUCAACCGCGCCCCGCCGUUGAAACGGGCAGCCUUGAGUUGACAAGAGGUAGGCGGAAUUCGUGGUGUAGCGGUGAAAUGCAUAGAUAUCACGAGGAACCCCGAUUGCGAAGGCAGCCUGCCGGGGUGCGACUGACGCUGAGGCUCGAAGGUGUGGGUAUCAAACAGGAUUAGAUACCCUAGUAGUC